rnacentral:rRNA from 1 species
UACGAAGGGUGUAAGCGUUAAUCGGAAUUACUGGGCGUAAAGGGUGCGUAGGCGGUUCGUUAAGUCUGUCGUGAAAUCCCCGGGCUCAACCUGGGAAUGGCGAUGGAUACUGGCGAGCUAGAGUGUGUCAGAGGAUGGUGGAAUUCCCGGUGUAGCGGUGAAAUGCGUAGAGAUCGGGAGGAACACCAGUGGCGAAGGCGGCCUUCUGGACCAAUACUGACGCUCAUGCACGAAAGCGUGGGGAGCAAACAGG